rnacentral:rRNA from 1 species
AUGAAGAUGGAGAUCAGCUCAAGGGCGGUCCUCCUGGCCGCGUUCGCCGCAGCGGCCACCAUCGGCCUCGCCGGCGCCAGUUUCCGUGACAACUGCGACAUCAAGUGGAACCCUGAGAACGCGGCCUUCUCCGACGACGGCCACGGCCUCACCAUGUCCCUAAAGAGCAACACCUCUGGCUGCUUGCUGCAGACGAAGCAGCAGUUCAUCUACGGCAGCGUCUCCACCCGCAUCAAGCUCGUCCCAGGGAACUCCGCCGGCACCGUCACCACGUACUACACAUCGUCCGUGGGGGCGGACCAUGACGAGAUCGACUUCGAGUUCCUGGGGAACGAGACGGGGCAGCCCUACACGCUGCACACCAACGUGUUCGCCGACGGCGUGGGCAAGAAGGAGAUGCAGUUCGUGCCCUGGUUCGACCCCACCACCGACUACCACACCUACACCAUCUCCUGGACGCCCUGCAUGAUCGUCUGGUACGUCGACGACACCCCGAUCAGGGUGUUCCGCAACUACCGGGACAAGGGCAUCGCGUACCCGAUCAAGCGGCCCAUGUUCGGCUACUCCAGCAUCUGGUCGGCGGAGGACUGGUGCACGCAGGGUGGCCGCGUCAAGGCCGACUGGUCCAAGGCGCCCUUUGUCGCCAGCUACCGCGACAUGGUCCUCGACGUCUGCCCCUGCGAUGGAAGCGACUCCUGCGUCUACGGCUGCGAGGGGGCCUUCGGCCAUGGAGGUCAGGAGCAGAACUGUGCUGGCCUCAGCGACAAGCAGCGGACCAAGAUGCUGGAGAAGCAAAAGUACAACAGGAUAUACGACUACUGCGUCGACUACAAGGACAACAAGAAGCCCGGCCCAGAGUGCAGCCUGCCGCAGUACUGA